rnacentral:rRNA from 1 species
AAGUCCAAAAUUUCACUAAAAGUGAAAAUCUUCAUGUGGUAUCUUCGUAGGAGAGUUGUUUUAACCAAAGACAACCUCGCACGACGCAACUGGCCAGGGAGUAAGAAGUGUUGUUUUUGUACUCAUAACAAGACAAUCAUACACCUCUUUUUUCAAUGCAAGUUUGCAUGUUUUACGUUGUCAGUCAUCCAAGUAGCGUCAAAUUUGUAUCCGCCCACAAGUGUUGCCAACAUUUUUGGUCAUUGGUUGGACGGGUAUUCCAAAUAA